CGCGUAGGCGGCCACCGCAAGUCGGUUGUGAAAUCUCUGGGCUUAACCCAGAAAGGUCAACCGAUACUGCGGGGCUAGAGUGCAGAAGGGGCAACUGGAAUUCUCGGUGUAGCGGUGAAAUGCGUAGAUAUCGAGAGGAACACCUGCGGCGAAGGCGGGUUGCUGGGCUGACACUGACGCUGAAGCGCGAAAGCUAGGGGAGCAACG
rnacentral:rRNA from 1 species